rnacentral:rRNA from 1 species
UACAGAGGCCUCGAGCGUUAGGCGGAAUCACUGGGCUUAAAGCGUGUGUAGGUGGAUGCCUAAGUACCUUGUGAAAUCCCACGGCUUAACCGUGGAAUGGCUGGGUAUACUGGGCGUCUUGAGCCACUCAGGGGCUACCGGAACAAAUGGUGGAGCGGUGAAAUGCGUAGAUAUCAUUUGGAACGCCAAUGGUGAAAACAGGUCGCUGGGGAUGCGCUGACGCUGAGACACGAAAGCCAGGGGAGCAAACGGG